rnacentral:rRNA from 1 species
UACGUAGGGUGCGAGCGUUGUCCGGAAUUAUUGGGCGUAAAGAGCUCGUAGGCGGCUUGUCGCGUCGGCUGUGAAAACCCGAGGCUCAACCUCGGGCCUGCAGUCGAUACGGGCAAACUAGAGUACUGCAGGGGAGACUGGAAUUCCUGGUGUAGCGGUGAAAUGCGCAGAUAUCAGGAGGAACACCGGUGGCGAAGGCGGGUCUCUGGGCAGUAACUGACGCUGAGGAGCGAAAGCGUGGGGAGCGAACAGG